CAGCCACCUGCUCCCCACUCAGCCUGCGUGACCCUGAGCACACCUUGAUACAGAGCAGGAGAACACCCGGUGAUUAAGGUUUGCACCGCCAGGGCUCCACUCUCCAGCCAAGGGCACAGUGCCCCGACCUCAGCUCUGGGGGGACACCCCAGGGGGCUCAGCUGUCUCUCAGCUUCUCGUGGACUUGUGAUCACCUGGGGAUUCUUCUCUGCCCCCGAGAUGGUGCAGCUCCAAGGAAGGCAGCAGAGGAAGAGCAGAGCUGAUGCAACACGGAGGCAAAGCAAACCUUGGAGCUCAGAGAGCCAAAACCCUCACAUUUUCAUUUUUUGGCCUUUUGAGGUUUUCUUAAUUUGUCUAUUUUUGUUCCUCGCCCACCUCUGCGCUGAGUGUGACGCGAGCCCUCGCUGGAGAGGCAGGGUUUUAAGGGAGAGCGCUGGCUGUUAUAAAGCAGUGAAGCUCUUGGAAAAACAGCCUCUGGAGCAAUAAACAGAUUUGGAGCUGA